rnacentral:rRNA from 1 species
GACGAACGCUGGCGGCGUGCUUAACACAUGCAAGUCGAACGGAGUGGCGAACGGGUGAGUAACACGUGGGUGACCUGCCCUGCACUUCGGGAUAAGCCUGGGAAACUGGGUCUAAUACCGGCUAGUGUGGGAUGGGCCCGCGGCCUAUCAGCUUGUUGGUGGGGUAAUGGCCAACCAAGGCGGCGACGGGUAGCCGGCCUGGGAGGGUGGACGGCCACCAUAGGACUGAGUCACGGACCAGAGUCGAACGGGGGGCAGCAGUGGAGAAUAUUGCACAAUGGGCGGAAGCCUGUUGCGGAGGCCCCGCGGGGGGAAUGACGGCCUUCGAGUUGUAAACACCUUUCACCAUCGACGCGGUAGCUGGAGAAGAAGCACCGGCUAACUACGUGCCAGCAGCCGCGGUAAUUC